AAAAGACUUAGUCCUAACCUUAUUAUUGGUUGCUGCCAGAUAUAUACAUGCAAGUAUCCGCAUUCCAGUGAAAAUGCCCUCUAACCUUUAUCCAUACAAACAAGAGGAGCUGGCAUCAGGCCCACCAAACAAUGGUAGCCCAAAACGCCUUGCCAAGCCACACCCCCACGGGUAUUCAGCAGUAAUUAACAUUAAGCAAUAAGUGUAAACUUGACUUAGCCAUAGCAGUCUUAGGGCUGGUAAAUCUUGUGCCAGCCACCGCGGUCAUACAAGAAGCCCAAAUCAAUAAUCACUCGGCGUAAAGAGUGGCCAUACGCUAUCUACACUAACUAAGAUCGAAACGUGACCAAGCUGUCAUAAGCCCAAGUCCCAUCUAAGCCCAACCCAAACAUCUUAGCAUGCAUGACCAACUUCAACCCACGAAAGCCAGGACACAAACUGAGAUUAGAUACCUCACUAUGCCUGGCCAUAAAUCCUGAUACUUCCCUACCUUUGUAUCCGCCCGAGAACUACGAGCACAAACGCUUAAAACUCUAAGGACUUGGCGGUGCCCCAAACCCACCUAGAGGAGCCUGUUCUAUAACCGAUAAUCCACGAUUCACCCAACCACCCCUUGCCAACACAGCCUACAUACCGCCGUCGCCAGCUCACCUCAAUGAAAGAACAACAGUGAGCUUAAUAGUCCCCACUAAUAAGACAGGUCAAGGUAUAGCCCAUGGGUUGGAAGAAAUGGGCUACAUUUUCUACCAUAGAACAAACGAAAAGGAACGUGAAACUCGUCCCUAGAAGGCGGAUUUAGCAGUAAGAUGAAAUCAUACCCAAGUUCACCUUAAGCUGGCCCUGAGGCACGUACAUACCGCCCGUCACCCUCCUCACAAGCCACCCUAUCAAAUAAAUAAUCCCCCACAGGCCAAAAGAUGAGGCAAGUCGUAACAAGGUAAGUGUACCGGAAGGUGCACUUAGACUAA
rnacentral:ncRNA from 1 species